rnacentral:rRNA from 1 species
UACGUAGGGUGCAAGCGUUAAUCGGAAUUACUGGGCGUAAAGCGUGCGCAGGCGGUUUUGUAAGUCUGUCGUGAAAUCCCCGGGCUCAACCUGGGAAUUGCGAUGGAGACUGCAAGGCUAGAAUCUGGCAGAGGGGGGGGUAGAAUUCCACGUGUAGCAGUGAAAAUGCGUAGAGAUGUGGAGGAACACCGAUGGCGAAGGCAGCCCCC